UACGUAGGGUCCGAGCGUUGUCCGGAAUUAUUGGGCGUAAAGGGCUCGUAGGCGGUCCGUCACGUCGGGAGUGAAAACUCGGAGCUCAACUCCGAGCCUGCUUCCGAUACGGGCAGACUAGAGGUAGGCAGGGGAGAGCGGAACUCCUGGUGUAGCGGUGGAAUGCGCAGAUAUCAGGAGGAACACCGGUGGCGAAGGCGGGACUCUGGGCCGAUACUGACGCUGAGGAGCGAAAGCGUGGGGAGCAAACAGG
rnacentral:rRNA from 1 species